rnacentral:rRNA from 1 species
UACGUAGGGUGCGAGCGUUGUCCGGAAUUACUGGGCGUAAAGAGCUCGUAGGUGGUUUGUCGCGUUUGUCCGUGAAAACUCACAACUCAAUUGUGGGCGUGCGGGCGAUACGGGCAGACUGGAGUACUGCAGGGGAGACUGGAAUUCCUGGUGUAGCGGUGGAAUGCGCAGAUAUCAGGAGGAACACCAAUUGCGAAGGCAGCUCGCUGGGACGUAACUGACGCUGAGGCACGAAAGCGUGGGGAGCAAACAGG